GUGUCGCUCACCUUGGUCUAUGUGAAUAUUAAACAAUGGACACAGAUGGAUUCAUGACAAAAUUGUGUUUUGGUGAUGCUGAUGUGUUUGUAGAUCUUACUUUACUAAACAUUCUUGCUGCUUACAAUUAUCUCUAUCUAUAACAGUACUUUCUGUGGAAAAUGUUAUUGAAAAUCUUCAAAUUUUAAAAAAUUGUUAAAAAUUU
rnacentral:lncRNA from 1 species